CCUACGGGAGGCAGCAGUGGGGAAUAUUGCACAAUGGGGGAAACCCUGAUGCAGCGACGCCGCGUGAGUGAAGAAGUAUUUCGGUAUGUAAAGCUCUAUCAGCAGGGAAGAAAUAGGACGGUACCUGACUAAGAAGCUCCGGCUAAAUACGUGCCAGCAGCCGCGGUAAUACGUAUGGGGCAAGCGUUAUCCGGAUUUACUGGGUGUAAAGGGAGCGUAGACGGCUGUGCAAGUCUGAUGUGAAAGCCCGGGGCUCAACCCCGGGACUGCAUUGGAAACUAUGUAACUAGAGUGUCGGAGAGGUAAGCGGAAUUCCUAGUGUAGCGGUGAAAUGCGUAGAUAUUAGGAGGAACACCAGUGGCGAAGGCGGCUUACUGGACGAUAACUGACGUUGAGGCUCGAAAGCGUGGGGAGCAAACAGGAUUAGAUACCCGGGUAGUC
rnacentral:rRNA from 1 species